rnacentral:rRNA from 1 species
CCUACGGGUGGCAGCAGUGAGGACUAUUGGUCAAUGGCCGGGAGGCUGAACCAGCCAAGUCGCGUCAGGGAAGACGGCCCUACGGGUUGUAAACCUCUUUUGUCAGGGAGCAAGGUGCAGGUCGGGACCUGCUGUGAGAGUACAUGCAGAAAAAGCAUCGUCGAACUCCGUGCCAGCAGCCGCGGUAAUACGGAGGAUGCGAGCGUUAUCCGGAUUUAUUGGGUUUAAAGGGUUCGCAGGCGGAGGCACAAGUCAGCGGUAAAAUCGCGGGGCUCAACCCCGCUCAGCCGUUGAAACUGUUUGCCUUGAGUGCGCGAAGGGUAGGCGGAAUGCGUGGUGUAGCGGUGAAAUGCAUAGAUAGCACGCAGAACUCCGAUCGCGAAGGCAGCCUACCGGCGCGCAACUGACGCUCAUGCACGAAAGCGUGGGUAUCGAACAGGAUUAGAUACCCUUGUAGUC